rnacentral:rRNA from 1 species
UACGAAGGGGGCUAGCGUUGCUCGGAAUUACUGGGCGUAAAGGGCGCGUAGGCGGCUCUGUUAGUCAGGCGUGAAAGCCUGGGCUCAACCUGGGGACUGCGCUUGAUACGGCGGGGCUUGAGGGCAGGAGAGGCUCGCGGAAUUCCCAGUGUAGAGGUGAAAUUCGUAGAUAUUGGGAAGAACACCAGUGGCGAAGGCGGCUCACUGGCCCGGUACUGACGCUGAGGUGCGAAAGCGUGGGGAGCAAACAGG